rnacentral:misc_RNA from 1 species
CCGAGUUUACAACUCCCAAACCCCUGUGAACAUACCAUAUUGUUGCCUCGGCGGUGCCUGUUUCGGCAGCCCGCCAGAGGACCCAAACCCUAGAUUACAUUAAAGCAUUUUCUGAGUCAAUGAUUAAAUCAAUCA